rnacentral:rRNA from 1 species
CCUAGAAAUGCUGCAUUGGAUACUAGUAACCCGUUAGAGUUUGAUCCUGGCUCAGGACGAACGCUGGCGGCGUGCCUAAUACAUGCAAGUCGAGCGGACAGAUGGGAGCUUGCUCCCUGAUGUUAGCGGCGGACGGGUGAGUAACACGUGGGUAACCUGCCUGUAAGACUGGGAUAACUCCGGGAAACCGGGGCUAAUACCGGAUGGUUGUUUGAACCGCAUGGUUCAAACAUAAAAGGUGGCUUCGGCUACCACUUACAGAUGGACCCGCGGCGCAUUAGCUAGUUGGUGAGGUAACGGCUCACCAAGGCAACGAUGCGUAGCCGACCUGAGAGGGUGAUCGGCCACACUGGGACUGAGACACGGCCCAGACUCCUACGGGAGGCAGCAGUAGGGAAUCUUCCGCAAUGGACGAAAGUCUGACGGAGCAACGCCGCGUGAGUGAUGAAGGUUUUCGGAUCGUAAAGCUCUGUUGUUAGGGAAGAACAAGUACCGUUCGAAUAGGGCGGUACCUUGACGGUACCUAACCAGAAAGCCACGGCUAACUACGUGCCAGCAGCCGCGGUAAUACGUAGGUGGCAAGCGUUGUCCGGAAUUAUUGGGCGUAAAGGGCUCGCAGGCGGUUUCUUAAGUCUGAUGUGAAAGCCCCCGGCUCAACCGGGGAGGGUCAUUGGAAACUGGGGAACUUGAGUGCAGAAGAGGAGAGUGGAAUUCCACGUGUAGCGGUGAAAUGCGUAGAGAUGUGGAGGAACACCAGUGGCGAAGGCGACUCUCUGGUCUGUAACUGACGCUGAGGAGCGAAAGCGUGGGGAGCGAACAGGAUUAGAUACCCUGGUAGUCCACGCCGUAAACGAUGAGUGCUAAGUGUUAGGGGGUUUC